UUUGGUUUUAAACAUUUUUUUUCACCUUUAUUUAACCAGGUAGGCAAGUUGAGAACAAGUUCUCAUUUACAAUUGCGACCUGGCCAAGAUAAAGCAAAGCAGUUCGACACAUACAACAACACAGAGUUACACAUGGAGUAAAACAAACAUACAGUCAAUAAUACAGUAGAAAAAUAAGUCUAUAUACAUACUUUAGUAUCAAAAGUAAAUGUAAUUGCUAAAAUAUACCCAAGAAUCAAAAGUUAAAUCCUUUCACAUUCCUUAUAUUAAGAACCAGAUGACGCCAUUUUAUUUGCUUCUUUUUUUUAAGGAUAUCCAGGGGCACACUCAGACAUAACUGACAAAUGAAGCAUUUGUGUUUUAGUGAGUCUGUCAGAUCAGAGGCAGUAGGGAUAACCAGGGAUGUUCUCUUGAGAAGUGUGUGAAUUGGACCAUUUUCCUGUCCUGAUAAGCAUGUGAAAUGUAACUUUUUGAGUACUUUUGGGUGUCAGAGAUAAUGUAUGGAGUAAAAAGUACAUUGUUUUCUUUAGGAAUGUAGUAAAGCAAAAGUUGUCAAAAAUAUGAAUAGUAAUGUACAGAUACCCCAAAAAAACAACUUAAGUAAAAAUACUUUAAAGUACUACUUAAGUAUUUUUACACCACUGGGUUCUCUUAGGAAGGUGCCACUUUGUGUCUGACGUCAGUGGAACAGGAAGCGGAUUUGUUGUUAGAUUCCGAGGUGUAACCUCUAUGUCAGGCCAUGCAUACUUGGCUCGCCAAGCCUAACCCCACUCACCCCAGGGAUAGAAAAAAUCUCAGAGUUAACAACAGAAUAUUAAACCAGUUACCAUUGCAGAAGUGCUCUAUUUCAAUACUGUGUUUUUGGAUUAUAAAAAUGACAGACUGAAACUGAUGGCUGGAUCCUCAUAGCAUUUGUUUUCUGCUAAAUAAUUAUUUAGUUCUCUGUUUAUACUGCAAAUACCUGUGUAUUGUGUUCGUGACAUGAUGAUAGAGUACGGUGUUUGGCAGAGCUAUGUGCUGGGUCUCAUGUUUCAUCACCAUGCCUGAUGACUGGAUGUGUCUAGUCCCUCAGAGUUCCUGACAAUGGAUAGGCUCCCUACUCUCUUUCAAUCCUAGCAGAGCCCUCCACCUUGUUAGCCACACACCCUCCAAGUGCUGCUAGUCAGACAUGUGCAAGUAUGCACACACGCAUAUACACACAUCCCCAUGGGGCUAACUGAAUUCUAAUUCCAAAUUCUAUAGCUGACUCACCCAUAGUUACAGAGCAUUCAGGGGGCACACAGCAGUCUCAUGACCAGGCAAUGGGGUGCAGAGGGUCUGUGAUAAACACAAACUCCUCUACUGUAACUACACCACCACGUGGGUCAGAAACAGGAGCCAAGAUGGCUGGCUGACAGUGUUUGUGUUGUAUGGAGGCACAUGUAUUGUCAAGGGUUAAGUGUGUGACAGGGUGCGUGUAGAGCCACAGGCAGGGCUUGUGGCUAAUAAUAUGUCCUUUGUGUUUGUGCAGCGUCGGGAUGUGGCACCGUGGCACUAGUCCAGGAUCAGAGGGCCGUUCAGAGUUUCAACUACCCACAAUCCUACAGCAACAACUCUGACUACCACUGGGUCAUCUAUGCCCCCCAGGAUCAUGUUGUCAAGGUGACACAUGUUGACCUAUACCUCUUAUGCAGAGGGGGCUUUAAUAUUUUGUGUAUUGUCCUGUGCAAGGCCAUUGUGACCGAAGGGAUACCCCAGAUCUCUGAUUGCUCCCAGUGGAAUCAUGAAUACGGUCUCUGGUGUGGAUGGGAUCAGUUUACCUGUACUGGAAAGAAUGUGUUACUCAGUUUGAUGCAACCAUAACAACAAUAAUAACAGCAACAGACUGCAAUAGUGUUGCUGCACAUGUCACAUUUUUUUGGCUGAAAUUACAAUGAUUUAAGAGUUUACAGCUCAGUGCAAGGAUGAUGUUGUAUUCCUUUGUUAUUUUAUUCUCUUAUCUUGCGGCGUGACUUCGAUGACUUUGACUUGGAGCAGUCAGAUGACUGCAGUCUGAUUCGCUGAUUUGUACUUCGGAGAUGUGGACGCAAAUAAAACAUUUUUUUGUCACAUACACAAGUGUGUUCGAGACCAAGACUGGAGCAAAUCGAGAGGGGGGGAGACAGAGUCAAGACCGGGAGGGGGACAAAGGGGUCCAAGGCCGAGACAAGAAAAAUGCAAGUCCAAUUCAAGACCAUGAUUGUAAUUUUG
ensembl:lncRNA